rnacentral:rRNA from 1 species
GAUGAACGCUAGCGGGAGGCCUAACACAUGCAAGCCGAGCGGUAGAGUUUCUUCGGAAACUUGAGAGCGGCGCACGGGUGCGUAACACGUGUGCAACCUACCUUUAUCUGGGGGAUAGCCUUUCGAAAGGAAGAUUAAUACCCCAUAAUAUAAUGAUUGGCAUCAAUUAUUAUUGAAAACUCCGGUGGAUAGAGAUGGGCACGCGCAAGAUUAGAUAGUUGGUGAGGUAACGGCUCACCAAGUCAAUGAUCUUUAGGGGUCCUGAGAGGGAGAUCCCCCACACUGGGACUGGGACACGUACCAGACUCAUACGGGAGGCAGCAGUGAGGAAUAUUGGACAAUGGGUGAGAGCAUGAUCCAGCCAUCCCGCGUGAAGGAUGACGGUCCUAUGGAUUGUAAACUUCUUUUGUACAGGGAUAAACCUACUCUCGUGAGGGUAGCUGAAGGUACUGUACGAAUAAGCACCGGCUAACUCCGUG